rnacentral:rRNA from 1 species
AUUGAACGCUGGCGGCAUGCCUUACACAUGCAAGUCGAACGGCAGCACGGGUGCUUGCACCUGGUGGCGAGUGGCGAACGGGUAAGUAAUACAUCGGAACAUGUCCUGUAGUGGGGGAUAGCCCGGCGAAAGCCGGAUUAAUACCGCAUACGAUCCACGGAUGAAAGCGGGGGACCUUCGGGCCUCGCGCUAUAGGGUUGGCCGAUGGCUGAUUAGCUAGUUGGUGGGGUAAAGGCCUACCAAGGCGACGAUCAGUAGCUGGUCUGAGAGGACGACCAGCCACACUGGGACUGAGACACGGCCCAGACUCCUACGGGAGGCAGCAGUGGGGAAUUUUGGACAAUGGGCGAAAGCCUGAUCCAGCAAUGCCGCGUGUGUGAAGAAGGCCUUCGGGUUGUAAAGCACUUUUGUCCGGAAAGAAAUCCUUGACUCUAAUACAGUCGGGGGAUGACGGUACCGGAAGAAUAAGCACCGGCUAACUACGUG